rfam:Triticum aestivum genome assembly, contig: Triticum_aestivum_CS42_TGACv1_scaffold_223452_3B
GUUUUACUCCCUCUGCCCGGAAGUACAUGUCGAAGAAAUUGAUGUAUCUAGAUAUAUUUUAGUUCUAAAUACAUCCAUUUUUAUCCAUUUCUCCGACAAGUAUUUCUGGAUGGAGGGAAUACUAU